CAGUCAUGCUAGUGAGGAAUCAACCUGAUGGUGUGUGGGUUCUCCCUCGUACUUUCUGGUGCACUUUCUCACCCGGCAGGUUAGCAUCAAUUUCGGUUAUCAUAAAAAAUUUGAGAGAAUGUGGCUUUUCUUCGGAAAAGUGUUAUAGAUCUUGAUCUAUGUGGUGACCGGGAUUGAGGAUUGCAGCGGAUACCCCUCGUGGCUCGUCACCUGGCUUCUGACGGUUACCCCGCCUUCGAUAGCUCGCUAACAUCGGUGGGACUCGAUUGUCUAGAUGUCAGAGUGAUUGAUUUUCGCUAAGGAUGCUGACGUAAUGGCUUUAAACGACCCGUCUUGAAACACGGACCAAGGAGUCUAACAUAUAUGCGAGUGUUU
rnacentral:rRNA from 1 species